rnacentral:rRNA from 1 species
UACGUAGGGUGCAAGCGUUAAUCGGAAUUACUGGGCGUAAAGCGUGCGCAGGCGGUUAGGCAAGACAGAUGUGAAAUCCCCGGGCUCAACCUGGGAACUGCAUUUGUGACUGCAUGGCUAGAGUGCGGCAGAGGGGGAUGGAAUUCCGCGUGUAGCAGUGAAAUGCGUAGAUAUGCGGAGGAACACCGAUGGCGAAGGCAAUCCCCUGGGCCUGCACUGACGCUCAUGCACGAAAGCGUGGGGAGCAAACAGG